rnacentral:rRNA from 1 species
GACGAACGCUGGCGGCGUGCCUAACACAUGCAAGUCGAGCGGGAAGCUUUCAAAUUGAGACUUCGGUUGAUUUUUGAAAGUGGAGAGCGGCGGACGGGUGAGUAACGCGUGAGUAACCUGCCUUACAGAGGGGGAUAACACAUAGAAAUGUGUGCUAAUACCGCAUAACACCGUAGUACCGCAUGGUACAUCGGUCAAAGAUUUAUCGCUGUAAGAUGGACUCGCGUCUGAUUAGCUAGUUGGAGGGGUAACGGCCCACCAAGGCGACGACCAGUAGCCGAACUGAGAGGUUGAUCGGCCACAUUGGGACUGAGACACGGCCCAAACUCCUACGGGAGGCAGCAGUGGGGAAUAUUGGGCAAUGGGGGGAACCCUGACCCAGCAACGCCGCGUGAAGGAAGAAGGUCUUCGGAUCGUAAACUUCUGUCCUAAGUGAAGAGAAGAAGACGGUAGCUUAGGAGGAAGCCCCGGCUAACUACGUG